CCUACGGGUGGCAGCAGUGAGGAAUAUUGGUCAAUGGGCGCGAGCCUGAACCAGCCAAGUCGCGUGAGGGAGGACGGCCCUACGGGUUGUAAACCUCUUUUGCCGGGGAGCAACGGGCGCCACGUGUGGCGUCACUGAGAGUACCCGGAGAAAAAGCAUCCGCUAACUCCGUGCCAGCAGCCGCGGUAAUACGGAGGAUGCGCGCGUUAUCCGGAUUUAUUGGGUUUAAAGGGUGCGCAGGCGGAUCGUUAAGUCAGUGGUCAAAUUGAGGGGCUCAACCCCUUCCCGCCAUUGAAACUGGCGUUCUUGAGUGGACGAGAGGUAUGCGGAAUGCGUGGUGUAGCGGUGAAAUGCAUAGAUAUCACGCAGAACCCCGAUUGCGAAGGCAGCAUACCGGUGCGCAACUGACGCUCAUGCACGAAAGCGUGGGUAUCGAACAGGAUUAGAUACCCGUGUAGUC
rnacentral:rRNA from 1 species